rnacentral:rRNA from 1 species
GUGUAUGGCCAUACCACCCUGAAUGUGCCCGAUCUCAUCUGAUCUCUGAAGCUAAGCAGGGUUGGGCCUGGUUAGUACUUGGAUGGGAGUUCAGUCCCCAGUACCAAAAAAC